rnacentral:tmRNA from 1 species
GGGGGUGUUCUGGAUUCGAUUUCAAUCAAGAGGGCGCGAUGGCACGCGGAGGAUGAUGCUUGGCCUCCUAAAUCACGCAUCACGACGAUAACUGGCAACACCAACAACGUCAUCGCGUUCGAGCGCCCGGCUGUGGCGCUCGCUGCCUAAUACGCAGCAACGCGAAUUCGCGGCCUAAGUCCGCGACGGUCCCGCCGCCGACUCCUGCUGAGCCGCCGGACCGUCUAACAGCAGGAAAAACCUCCCGUUUUCGCGAGGGCUUUCGAGGUUAAAGGAAAGCCGCCGCUGGACUGCGCGGGCGCCCCCGCCCAACCGCAUUCGAGACCCAACCGGGGUGCUAAGCGUGUAGAUGUCGUGUUCAACGGACUGAAAGACGGGGGUUCAAAUCCCCCCACCUCCACCA